rnacentral:rRNA from 1 species
ACUCCUACGGGAGGCAGCAGUGGGGAAUAUUGCACAAUGGGCGCAAGCCUGAUGCAGCCAUGCCGCGUGAGUGAAGAAGGCCCCUCGGGUUGUAAAGCUCUUUUGUCAGGGAAGAAACGGUGAUCUCUAAUAUAGAUUGCUAAUGACGGUACCUGAAGAAUAAGCACCGGCUAACUACGUGCCAGCAGCCGCGGUAAUACGUAGGGUGCAAGCGUUAAUCGGAAUUACUGGGGCGUAAAGCGUGCGCAGGCGGUUUUGUAAGUCUGAUGUGAAAUCCCCGGGCUCAACCUGGGAACUGCAUUGGAGACUGCAAGGCUAGAGUGUGUCAGAGGGGGUAGAAUUCCACGUGUAGCAGUGAAAUGCGUAGAGAUGUGGAGGAAUACCGAUGGCGAAGGCAGCCCCCUGGGAUAACAC